rnacentral:rRNA from 1 species
CAAAGGAUUGACGGGGCCCGCACAAGCGGCGGAGCAUGUGGAUUAAUUCGAUGCAACGCGAAGAACCUUACCUGGGUUUGACAUACACCGGAAAACCGUAGAGAUACGGUCCCCUUGUGGUCGGUGUACAGGUGGUGCAUGGCUGUCGUCAGCUCGUGUCGUGAGAUGUUGGGUUAAGUCCCGCAACGAGCGCAACCCUUGUCUUAUGUUGCCAGCACGUAAUGGUGGGGACUCGUAAGAGACUGCCGGGGUCAACUCGGAGGAAGGUGGGGACGACGUCAAGUCAUCAUGCCCCUUAUGUCCAGGGCUUCACACAUGCUACAAUGGCCAGUACAGAGGGCUGCGCGACCGUGAGGUGGAGCGAAUCCCUUAAAGCUGGUCUCAGUUCGGAUCGGGGUCUGCAACUCGACCCCGUGAAGUCGGAGUCGCUAGUAAUCGCAGAUCAGCAACGCUGCGGUGAAUACGUUCCCGGGCCUU